UCCUCUGGAUUGUAAACUUCUUUUAUCUGGGAAGAAUCCAUUUUUUCUAAAUGGUUGACGGUACCAGAUGAAUAAGCACCGGCUAACUCCGUGCCAGCAGCCGCGGUAAUACGGAGGGUGCAAGCGUUAUCCGGAUUCACUGGGUUUAAAGGGUGCGUAGGUGGGCAAGUAAGUCAGUGGUGAAAUCUCCGGGCUUAACCCGGAAACUGCCAUUGAUACUAUUUGUCUUGAAUACUGUGGAGGUCAGCGGAAUAUGUCAUGUAGCGGUGAAAUGCUUAGAUAUGACAUAGAACACCAAUUGCGAAGGCAGCUGGCUACACAAAUAUUGACACUGAGGCACGAAAGCGUGGGGAUCAAACAGGAUUAGAUACCCUGGUAGUCCACGCCCUAAACUAUGGAUACUCGACAUUUGCGAUGAACUGCAAGUGUCUGAGCGAAAGCAUUAAGUAUCCCACCUGGGAAGUACGAUCGCAAGAUUG
rnacentral:rRNA from 1 species